AGAGUUUGAUCAUGGCUCAGAAUCAACGCUGGCGGCGUGCCUAACACAUGCAAGUCGCACGAGAAAGGGUAGCAAUACCUGAGUACAGUGGCGCACGGGUGAGUAACACGUGAAUCAUCUACCUUCGAGUGGGGAAUAACUGGGAGAAAUCUCAGCUAAUACCGCAUAAUACCUACGGGUCAAAGCAGCAAUGCGCUUGAAGAGGAGUUCGCGGCAGAUUAGUUAGUUGGCGGGGUAAUGGCCCACCAAGACGAUGAUCUGUAUCCGGCCUGAGAGGGCGCACGGACACACUGGAACUGAAACACGGUCCAGACUCCUACGGGAGGCAGCAGUGGGGAAUUUUGCGCAAUGGGGGAAACCCUGACGCAGCAACGCCGCGUGGAGGAUGAAAUCCCUUGGGAUGUAAACUCCUUUCGAUUGGGAAGAUUAUGACGGUACCAAUAGAAGAAGCCCCGGCUAACUUCGUGCCAGCAGCCGCGGUAAUACGAGGGGGGCAAGCGUUGUUCGGAAUUAUUGGGCGUAAAGGGCGCGUAGGCGGUUUGACAAGUCUUAUGUGAAAUCUCUGGGCUCAACCCAGAGUCUGCAUGGGAAACUGUCGGGCUUGAGUAUGGGAGAGGUGAGUGGAAUUUCCGGUGUAGCGGUGAAAUGCGUAGAUAUCGGAAGGAACACCUGUGGCGAAAGCGGCUCACUGGACCAUAACUGACGCUGAGGCGCGAAAGCUAGGGGAGCAAACAGGAUUAGAUACCCUAGUAGUCC
rnacentral:rRNA from 1 species